UACAGAGGUCUCAAGCGUUGUUCGGAUUUAUUGGGCGUAAAGGGUGCGUAGGCUGCGGGGUCAGUUGGGUGUGAAACGCCAUAGCUCAACUACGGCACUGCAUUCAAUACUACCCUGCUUGAGCACUAGCGAGGAGGCUGGAAUUUACGGUGUAGCAGUGAAAUGCGUAGAUAUCGUAAGGAACACCAGUGGCGAAGGCGAGCCUCUAGAUAGUAUGCUGACGCUGAGGCACGAAAGCCAGGGGAGCAAACGGG
rnacentral:rRNA from 1 species